rnacentral:rRNA from 1 species
UACGUAGGGGGCAAGCGUUGUCCGGAAUCAUUGGGCGUAAAGAGCGCGUAGGCGGUCCGGUAAGUCCGCUCUGAAAGUCCGGGGCUCAACCCCGGGAGGCGGGCGGAUACUGCCGGGCUAGAGUCCGGAAGAGGCGAGUGGAAUUCCUGGUGUAGCGGUGAAAUGCGCAGAUAUCAGGAAGAACACCCGUGGCGAAGGCGGCUCUCUGGGACGGUACUGACGCUGAGACGCGAAAGCGUGGGGAGCGAACAGG